rnacentral:rRNA from 1 species
UACGUACUGUGCGAACGUUAUUCGGAAUCACUGGGCUUAAAGGGUGUGUAGGCGGCCGGCUAAGUAGGGUGUGAAAGGCCUCGGCUCAACCGAGGCAUUGCGCUCUAAACUGACCGGCUUGAGUGAGAUAGGGGUGUGCGGAACUUCCAGUGGAGCGGUGAAAUGUGUUGAUAUUGGAAGGAACGCCGGUGGCGAAAGCGGCACACUGGGUCUUGUCUGACGCUGAGACACGAAAGCCAGGGGAGCGAACGGG